rnacentral:rRNA from 1 species
GAAUUCACUAGUGAUUCAGGCCUAACACAUGCAAGUCGAGCGAUUUACUUCGGUAAAGAGCGGCGGACGGGUGAGUAACGCGUGGAUAACCUGCCCUGUACACACGGAUAACAUACCGAAAGGUAUGCUAAUACGAGAUAAUAUGCCUUUAUCGCAUGGUAGAAGUAUCAAAGCUUUUGCGGUACAGGAUGGACCCGCGUCUGAUUAGCUAGUUGGUGAGGUAACGGCUCACCAAGGCGACGAUCAGUAGCCGACCUGAGAGGGUGAUCGGCCACAUUGGAACUGAGACACGGUCCAAACUCCUACGGGAGGCAGCAGUGGGGAAUAUUGCACGAUGGGCGAAAGCCUGAUGCAGCAACGCCGCGUGUGCAAUGGAGGCCUUCGGGUCGUAAAGCUCUGUCCUCAAGGAAGAUAAUGACGGUACUGAGAGAGCC